GACUUGGUAGCUCUGCAUGACAUAUCAAGGAGCUGCUUGCAUGUGACAUCACAACAUCAAACUUUGAAAUUCAUAACUCUUAUUCUGUGGUUAAGUGUGUGUCUCUACUGCUUUUGUUGAUUUUGUCAACCCUACAGGAUGUAGACAAAUCACAAAAAUAAAGGCAUCAACUCAAUACAAUUUCAUAGAAAAAAGGUUUCAUUUCUUUAAUUAAUUUAGCACGUUUUUACUGUAUGUAACUGACCUAGAAUUUAGACAUUUUUAAACAAUAACCAAGACAAAUUACAAAUCUGCAGAAGUUAUGCUUUCAAAGUCAUUUAACAUACAAAAUUCACCAAUAGUGUGACUUCAGUAAAAACAUACAAGUACACAAAGUAAAUCAAUGAUAAACAUUGCUUGAUUUUGUCCUCAAAUAUUUGAAUUUGGAAAUAAAUAAAUGUAAUUUUUCUCAUUACCUUACAUAAUUAAUGACAACUACUGAAUAUUAGGAAAGGACAACAUUGUGACAAAUAUAUUUUACUUAAAUAUUCAACAUGAUUUAAGAGUACCGUAAUAGUGGUAAUUUUUAGUCAAGAUUCUGAAUUAAGAGACUCCUUAUCGUAUAUCCUGUAACAAGGUCUGUAUUCAUAAUUAGUCGAGCAAAUUUCAGUCAAGACACAUCCUAUUAAGUAUUAAUCACAUAUCAGUGAUAAAACUUUAAAGUUAGCCACAAGCCCACCACAAAUGUAAACUUUAUUAAAUAGAUUAAAGGGCACGAAGUACCUCUUAGAUCAUAGAAGUUGAUUUCUUUUUCUUCAAAUGUAAAACUAUUAAACGCCUAAUAAAUGGUAAAAAAAUAUCAUUUUUUUUCAUAGCAUGUUGACUGUUAAAAGUGUAUCUUAGACAUACGUAGAGUGAGUAGGCACUCUCCUGCUUUAGAUUUCACAAAAUAAAAUUCAAAUAUCAAAGAAAAUCACAAAUAUGAGCACUUGUGCUCUAGCUGUGAAAGUGUACAUAAGACCGUUUGGUACAUGUAUUUUUGUCACACAAAUAAAAUAACGGGCAUAUGUCUGGAACUGAAAGCUUCACAUGCAAUAAGUGAGUGUACAAUAUUUUUUCUUAUACAUAGGUGUUCUUCUAGACAGGAAUAACCGUUGUUUCUGGGGAUUUACAAUGUAUAAACAAUUUCUGACAUUUUAUUAUUGGUGAGUGGAGCCAACACAGUUCAGCGGAACAACCAAUUACAGAGACUGAAGCUUUUGGUCUAUAGUAUUCUCCUUGCUUCUUGAAACUGCAUUUCAGUGUAUUUGUUUUUAUUUGCUGUUAAAGGUAAAUGCUAGUUUUGGUAA